GGUUAAUAAAAGUUGCUUAGCUUUGAUUUGAUGAUUCAAACGCACUAUGUUUAGAUAAAACUGGCAAUUAUUUUAUAGUUUAAUGGGAUCAUAUUGAUGUAAACAUAUCAUUGUCAACAUUGAGAGUUGUUUGCUAAAAGAUAAGAUCCAACCCACCUUCUCCUAACAAAAGCAACAGUGAUAGGAUGAUCAUGUAGGCUGGACCACUAUAUAAUAUGGACCUAUAUUUGUGCCAAUAUAAUUUAGAUGUGCCGUUUGUUUUCUUCCAAUAAUAUACGUCACUUGAGGGUCUCCCUUUCGCUUGAGCUGUGAACCUGUGACUUUGCUUAGUUCUUAUCCUCUAAUUUUUUUUUAUGUUUAGAGAGGAAACAUAGAACUCUAACACGUCUUUUGAAAACUGCCAAUGCAUUUUUGCUGAUUCUCUUUCAAAAAAAUGUUCUCUUUCUUAAUUUUUCUGAUAAGAAAAAUAGGACAUGAUGUGGAAUCGAUGCUAUCAGUUUCUCAUCCACGAGAUAACAGCUCAGCACAAACUAAGCAACCACUGUUUGUCUACUAGUUUAUCUGAUCCUUGGCUUUAAGUUGCUAAUAUAACAUACGAAUUAAUAAUGAUUUAAUUGUAAUAUGUGACAUAAAUUUACAUUGGUACACGAGUAUUUAUUUUGGUGAUCUAUUCAGUAUUUACCUAGAGGCCUAACUAAGACUCUUUGAUAUGCCAUAUUUUAACUGAUGGCUUGGCUUGUCCAACCAAGAUGAUGGGAUGAGAAACUUGGUUCAGAUUUCUAUAGUUAUAUUCAUCAUUUUUGUGUGGUAAAUGUAUAAACAAACAUAAUAAUAACAAGCAAACAUGGUAAAUCUUGAAUUAAUAGAAGCUUACAUGAAGGAAUAUUAAAAAAACAAUAUUACCCAAAAUUCUAAUUAUUUAUGUUGAUAUUGCCGCGGUGUUGCUAUCAGGUUUCUGUCAUGCUACUAUCCGAAUUCAAAUUUGGUUUUAGUAAAGUAAAGGAUAAAAACAACCGAAAUAUUAGAUGAUCGCUUUUUCAAAAAAAAAAAGAAAUGAUCGGAUAAUGCAUUGAAUAUAACGUCAGGCGUGGAGUACUUUACAUUUCAUUUAUCAAAAAAAAAGCGAAGCAAAAAACAAAUAUAGUAGGUUUUAGUGACAAGGAAAAUAGGCGUUGGGAUGUGAAAGGAGUCAUGACCCACAAGCCACAUCAGUUUUAUGACACCACAUGUGUGUCUGACGAGGCCACAGAGAGAUAAGGUUUUUGUGUGUUUGGGUUUGGCCACUUUCACAGCCAAAUGUCAAAUCCUUUAAACGUUAUGAAUUUAUGGGUGAAUUACGUUAAGAUUUUUUUUUUUGGUUCCACACGUUAAGGUUUUAUCCUUACAAGUUUGACAACUCUUCCGCAUGUAUAUAUGAUGACCUAAUCGAAGCCCCUAGCGGCAGAAGAACAUACCUAAACAUAGUUUGCGGUACGUGAGGAGACAUUUCAAGCUCAAUGAAUCCAAUCCCACCUAAGAGGUUCGAUGCGUUUCACAUGAUUCUUCACUUCAUUUGGCUACGUAGGUUUACCACGAGGUCCUAGGGGUAAAUGAUUAUAGGUCAUACAGAAAACACAUGUUAGUUUUUUAAAAAACUCAUUCCACAUAAUUAAGUGUAGUAGUACCUUAACGUCUGGAUAUAAUGAAUGGCAUUUAUUUGGUGUUAUUACUAAACGUCUGGUGAAUUAUUGCAACAUUUCUAAUCAAUAGAGCAACGAUAAAUAUAAUCUAAACCUUUAUACCACACUAUAUUACAAACUAUUAAUCAUAAAAAGAGAAGUAAAACUAUCAAUCAUUUGGUUGGGACGAAGUUGUGUGAAAGGCGUUCCAUCUGCGACCGUAGAAUCUUACCGAGCGAGAAACGUUGGUUGCGGUGCUUGCAGACAAGGCUGGUUGUUCAUGCUAAGCUGUCUUUUGCACUGUCUUCAUUCUUGACCUCGAGGUGGAUCGGUCUCAUCUCUUUCUUCACCGACUCCACAUUAAGGGUGUGUAUCAACGAAAUAAGGAUUUUCUCGUUUAUAAAUGAACAGAGUUUAACAAAGUAGCUUAUAUUUGGUUAUUUCGCUAUCAUUUUCUUAUUCUUUAUCAUUUUAAAAAGAGGUUCGAACAAGGGUUUUGCUAUCAGUCCAAAAGCUUACUUUAUCAGGAGAUGUCAAAGCUCUGAAAUGGAGUAUAUAUAUUAGAAGCUGGACUUUUUCUUACGAUAAACUUCCCACCGAGCCCAUUAGACUCUCCGUUCUCAAACUACAUGGCUCUUCCGUCAGUAAAAAGUGCACCAUCAUCAUACUAUCUUUACUUUUCAUUUAUGUCAUUACUUUAUCACUACUCCUUUGGUUAGUUUCGAUUUUUAAUUUAUUUACUAUGUGAAGACGUUUGCGUAAAUAGCUCGGCAACCCUUGGAGAUUCCAAGCUUGCCAUAGAGACACGUCCCCAAGAUCUCAUGGUCACACGUGUGCCGGGGGCAUUUCUGCUUAUGUUUUCGUGGUCAGAACUCAGAAGUUAGUCACUAAUACUGAGUGCAUUGAAAUUUAUGGUCUGCAGGAAGGUGAUGAGGUUUAUAGCCAAUCUUCCAUCUCAUUUUCGUGAUAGGUCAAGGCAGGAGUGGGAUUCAGUACAUAAAAAGACGUUAUAUAAUUGUUUCAGGUAAUGUUCAAGAACCAUGUGUCCGCUCUUGCAAUUUGCAAACAAAAUAAUUCGCAAUUUGCAAACAAAAUAACUCUUUACUAAACUGUGUUCUUGAUGAGUGAUAUAUAUGUAAGUUUUUUCGGUCGCAGCACACAUUCCAGUUUUGUAAUCACAAUAAAAUGAUCUGAAGAUCAUGUUAUUACAAAGGAUAGCAUGUUCAGUGAAAGCUUAUACAA